UAACUGCCAUCGAAAAUGUGGUGAA
rnacentral:piRNA from 1 species